CCUACGGGUGGCAGCAGUGAGGAAUAUUGGUCAAUGGACGAGAGUCUGAACCAGCCAAGUAGCGUGAAGGAUGACUGCCCUAUGGUUUUUAAACUUCUUUUAUAAAGGAAUAAAACGAGGCACGUGUGCCUUUUUGCAUGUACUUUAUGAAUAAGGAUCGGCUAACUCCGUGCCAGCAGCCGCGGUAAUACGGAGGAUCCGAGCGUUAUCUGGAUUUAGUGGGUUUAAAGGGAGCGUAGAUGGGUUGUUAAGUCAGUUGUGAAAGUUUGCGGCUCAACCGUAAAAUUGCAAUUGAUACUGGCAGUCUUGAGUACAGUUGAGGUAAGCGGAAUUCGUGGUGUAGCGGUGAAAUGCUUAGAUAUCACGAAGAACCCCGAUUGCGAAGGCAGCUUACUAAACUGUGACUGACAUUGAUGCUCGAAAGUGUGGGUAUCAAACAGGAGUAGAUACCCUUGUAGUC
rnacentral:rRNA from 1 species